AAAGUUUCCUUCGGGAAGCGAGUAGAGCGGCGAACGGGUGAGUACAACGUAGGUAACCUACCCCCGAGACUGGGAUAACCUGUCGAAAGACGGGCUAAUACCGGAUAAGACCACGAGGGCUGCGGCCCUUGGGGCAAAAGGUGGCCUCUGCUUGCAAGCUACUACUCGAGGAGGGGCCUGCGCGCCAUUAGCUAGUUGGUGAGGUAACGGCUCACCAAGGCGAAGAUGGCUAGCUGGUCUGAGAGGAUGGCCAGCCACACUGGGACUGAGACACGGCCCAGACUCCUACGGGAGGCAGCAGUGGGGAAUCUUGCGCAAUGGGCGAAAGCCUGACGCAGCGACGCCGCGUGGGUGAUGAAGGCCUUCGGGUCGUAAAGCCCUGUCGGGAGGGAAGAAAUCUCAUCGGCCUAAUAUGCCGAUGACUUGACGGUACCUCUUAAGGAAGCACCGGCUAACUCCGUGCCAGCAGCCGCGGUAAUACGGAGGGUGCAAGCGUUGUUCGGAAUCACUGGGCGUAAAGCGCGUGUAGGCGGCUAUCUAAGUCUGGUGUGAAAGCCCUGGGCUCAACCCAGGAAGUGCACUGGAUACUGGAUAGCUGGAGUACCGGAGAGGAGGGUGGAAUUCCUGGUGUAGCGGUGAAAUGCGUAGAUAUCAGGAGGAACACCGGUGGCGAAGGCGUCCCUCUGGCCGGAUACUGACGCUGGGACGCGAAAGCGUGGGGAGCAAACAGGAUUAGAUACCCUGGUAGUCCACGCCAUAAACGAUGGGUACUAGGUGUUCGGGGUAUUGACCCCCUGAGUGCCGCAGCUAACGCA
rnacentral:rRNA from 1 species